GUGGGUUGGGGCACCCCGGGGCUGCAUGGUCCCCCCUGGCGGGAUGCCAGCCGGGCACCCCCGGAGGGGUCAUGGGGGGGGGUCUCCGUCCCAUCAGCGCAGGGCAGCUUGGGCUGCAGAGGGGGGUCCGGGCCAGCGCUCGGGGCACGUCCUCCGGGGGGGCUCGCUGGUGCCGAGGCUGCGUGUGGGAGCACGGCCAGGCACGCACACGCGUCCCAGAGCCGCCGGCCGCGGGGCGGUGCACGCACGGCGGUGCACGCCCGGCGCCCGGCUCCCCUUGCUGCGCGCUUGCUGACGUGCGGGCGGCACGUGCGUGCACGCUCUGCCCGCAGCGCUCCGCCAACGGCCCCGUCCCCGGCGCCCUCCGAAGCGGCCGGGAGCAGCAGCGCAGCGCUCCCUGCUCCGGGCCGAGGUGCUGCCCAGUGGGGCAGGGACGGAGAAACACGCCUGCCCCGGGGUUUGGGAGCAGGGCCCUGCCACCACCCCCUAACACCGCUGGUGACCCCGCAGCAGCCUCCCGGAGCUACGCCCCGGCCGCGACGCUUCACCGGCGCGGCCCUCCCUGUUCCCGGGCAGGAGGGAGGAAAAUGCCGGCGUAAUUGCAUCCCGCCUCAUUAUCCGCAGCAGGUGCUCGCUGAGUCACGGCCCACCUGGGUGCAGGCGCGUGGGGCACCCCACGCCGCCCUGGGCGGGCCGGGCUUGGGGUGCGGUGCCAGGGCCGGGUGUCCCCUGGGUGCCCCCGCUCCCAGCUUUGCCGCAGGCCUGGGGGAGGCUCUUCUCCCCCCUGCUCGCCCCAGGAGGAGCGAAACCCAGGCCACCUCCUCCCCUCCCCUUGCUGCCCUGCUCCAGACCCUCCUGGCAGCCACGGGCUCCCCCUUCCUUCUCCGCCCAGCCUUCCUCCCCUGGACCUCUUCUCCCUCCCCAGACCUCUCCCCAUGCUUACCCCAGGCCCAUACUUACCUCGUUUCUGCAGCACCCCUCGCCCCUGCCCCGGCUCCCCUCUCGGCCUGCCCUGCCGUGGGCCACCAGCCCCCCGGGCUCACGUCCCCUUUAAGCCUUCCCGAGGCUGGAAUGCGAGAGGAGCAUUUCGGCGCCGUGUGA
rnacentral:lncRNA from 1 species